GAUGAACGCUGGCGGCGUGCUUAACACAUGCAAGUCGAACGGAAAGGCUCCUGCUUGCAGGGGUACUCGAGUGGCGAACGGGUGAGUAACACGUGGGUGAUCUGCCCUGCACUUCGGGAUAAGCCUGGGAAACUGGGUCUAACACCGGAUAGGACGAUGGUUUGGAUGCCAUUGUGGAAAGUUUUUUCGGUGUGGGCUGAGCUCGCGGCCUAUCAGCUUGUUGGUGGGGUAUUGGCAUACCAAGGCGUCGACGGGUAGCCGGCCUGGGAGGGUGUACGGCCACAUUGGGACUGCGGUACGGCCCAGACUCCUACGGGAGGCAGCAGUGGGGAAUAUUGCACAAUGGGCGCAAGCCUGAUGCGGCGACGCCGCGUGGGGGAUGACGGCCUUCGGGUUGUAAACACCUUUCGCUAGGGACGAAGCGCAAGUGACGGUACCUGGAGAAGAAGCACCGGCUAACUACGUG
rnacentral:rRNA from 1 species